ACUCCGGUUGAUCCUGCCGGACCCGACUGCUAUCGGAUUGGGAUUUAGCCAUGUUAGUUGUGCGUUCCUUGGCUACAGGGGACGCAGCGUACGGCUCAGUAACACGUAGUCAACCUGCCCUGGAGACGCGGACAAACCCGGGAAACUGGGGCUAAUCCGCGAUAGAUGACCUCAUCUGGAAGGAGAGGUCGUCCAAAAGGCGGCACGAGUUUGCUUCGUGCCUUUCGCUCCAGGAUGGGACUGCGGCCGAUCAGGCUGUUGGCGGGGUAAUGGCCCACCAAACCUGUAACCGGUACGGGCUUUGAGAGAAGGAGCCCGGAGAUGGACACUGAGACAAGGGUCCAGGCCCUACGGGGCGCAUCAGGCGCGAAAACUUCGCAAUGCGCGAAAGCGUGACGAGGCUAGUCCGAGUGCUUCCUGCUAAAGGGAGCUUUUCUCGGCUGUAAAUAGGCCGGGGAAUAAGGGGAGGGCAAGUCUGGUGUCAGCCGCCGCGGUAAUACCAGCUCCUCGAGUGGUCGGGACGAUUAUUGGGCCUAAAGCACCCGUAGCCGGUUCCGUAAGUCUUCUGUUAAAUCCAGUCGCUCAACGGCUGGCCUGCAGAGGAUACUGCGGGACUAGGAGGCGGGAGAGGCGGACGGUACUCCGCGUGUAGGGGUAAAAUCCUUUGAUCCGCGGAAGACCACCAGUGGCGAAGGCGGUCCGCCAGAACGCGCUCGACGGUGAGGGGUGAAAGCUGGGGGAGCGAACCGGAUUAGAUACCCGGGUAGUCCCAGCCGUAAACGAUGCGAGCUAGAUGAUUCACUCGCAGUUCGCGAUUGAAGUGUCGCAGGGAAGCCGUUAAGCUCGCCGCCUGGGGAGUACGGUCGCAAGGCUGAAUUGGGUGUAGAGCGAGAAAUCGCUUUGCACCCACAGUUCACUUAAAGGAAUUGGCGGGGGAGCACCACAAGGGGUGAAGCCUGCGGUUCAAUUGGAGUCAACGCCAGGAAACUUACCAGGAGCGACAGCAGUAUGAGAGUCAGGCUGAAGACUUUACUUGACAAGCUGAGAGGAGGUGCAUGGCCGUCGCCAGCUCGUGCCGUGAGGCGUCCUGUUAAGUCAGGCAACGAGCGAGACCCUUGCCAGUAAUUGCUAGCCGCGAUCGCAAUAUCGCGGACGCCCUCAUGAAUAUGGAAUCCCUAGUAACCGCGUGUCAUCACCGCGCGGUGAAUACGUCCCUGCUCCUUGCACACACCGCCCGUCGCUUCACCCGAGUUGGGUUUAGGCGAGGCCGGCUCUAAUUGGGCCGAUCGAACCUAAGUUCGGCAAGGGGGGAGAAGUCGUAACAAGGUGGCUGUAGGGGAACCUGCAGCCGGAUCACCUCCU
rnacentral:rRNA from 1 species